rnacentral:rRNA from 1 species
UUAAAAGUUAUUUAAUGAAGUGGGUUUUAUUAUGAUUUUUAAAUUAUUAGGGUUUGGUACUUAAUAGGAUGAAUAAGAAAAAUUAUUUGUUUAAAAGUAAUUAAUUAAUGUACCUUUUGUAUCAGGGUUUAUUAAUUCUUUAGGUUUAUUCCUAUUUCCCGAAGCUAAGGGGUCUAUUUUGCUAUUAUAACUUAUGUAGAAUAAUGAGUAUAAAUUGUAAGAUUGUAAUGAAAUGUUAAUCGUACUUUGUGAUAUCUGGUUUCUUAGGAAAUUAAUUUAAUUGAGAUUAAUUUAUUAAAUGUUUGAUUUUUAGGUCAUGUUUUGUUACAAUUAAUUUAUAUUUAGGGGGAUAAGCUCCUAAAUAUUAACUAUAUUAAUGAAAGGUUAUAAAAUUGUAUGCUUUAAAUUAGCAGUCGUAUUAUUAUGUAAUAAUUUAUUGUAAUAUUAGAAAUUUAUUAAUAAUUAGUUUAUUUAUUAAGAAAUUAAUCUUAUUUAUGUUUUUAAAUCUAUUAUGAUGAAAUUAGUAAAUUAUUAGAGUAUUUGUUGUUAAUUAAUAAAUUUAAGUAAAGGAAUUCGGCAAAUGAAUAUUCGCCUGUUUAACAAAAACAUGGUGGUUAGUUUAUUAAUUUAACAUCUGGCCUGCCCACUGAUAUUGAAGGGCCGCAGUAUAUUGACUGUGCAAAGGUAGCAUAAUCAUUAGGUUCUUAAUUAGGAUCUGGAAUGAAGGGUUUAACGAAAUAUUAACUGUCUCUGUUUAAUAGAUUUAAUUUAACUUUUUAGUAAAAAGGCUAGGAUUUGGAUGAGGGACGAGAAGACCCUAUAGAGCUUAAUAUUUACUUUAUAAUAAUCACUUAGAUUUGAAUAAAUUAGUAUUAGGUAAUUAUUUUACUGGGGCGGUAUAAAGAUAAUUUUAACUCUUAUUUUGUUAAUAACAAUGAUUAAGUAAUUGAAUCAUAAUAAUGAUUUUAGAUAAAGUUACCUUAGGGAUAACAGCGUAAUUUAUUUGGAGAGUUCAUAUUGAUAAAUAUGUUUGCGACCUCGAUGUUGAAUUAAGAUUUCAGAGGAAUGGAGCAGUUUCUAUUGAGAGUCUGUUCGACUCUAAAAUUCUUACAUGAUUUGAGUUCAGACCGGCGCGAGCCAGGUUGGUUUCUAUCUUCAUUUUUAUAUUAAAUUUUAGUACGAAAGGACCAUAUUUAAUAAAUAAUUUAUGAAUUUGAAUACCAUA